GACGUAGGGCGCGAGCGUUGUCCGGAUUUAUUGGGCGUAAAGAGCUCGUAGGCGGUUUGUCGCGUCUGCCGUGAAAGUCCGGGGCUCAACUCCGGAUCUGCGGUGGGUACGGGCAGACUAGAGUGAUGUAGGGGAGACUGGAAUUCCUGGUGUAGCGGUGAAAUGCGCAGAUAUCGGGAGGAACACCGGUGGCGAAGGCGGCGAUCUGGGAAGAUACUGACGCUGAGGUGCGAAAGCGUGGGGAGCAAACAGGGAUUAAGAUACC
rnacentral:rRNA from 1 species